GCUAUGUUUUUUAAGUGGAAAAAGGCAAUAUAAUAACUUUGAAUGAGUUUAGCUUUCUCUAGCUGUAUCAGCUACAUACCACAUGACUGACCAAUCACAGAGCCCCUGUCAGUUGUUCUACCUAGUAACAAGCCAAAGUAAGAUUCUGACAGGGAGCUCCUAUUUAGUUUGACAAGCUUCAAUCCAGAUGAAUAAAUAAAGUGUGUUUGUGUUUCAGGCUCCAGAGAUCUCCAGUCAGCCUCCAAACAGAGGAGGAAGUGUCAGCAGUACAAAGGACAGAAGAAGAAGAGGAAGUUGUCCGUCACUAAGCGUCCCGUCAGCCUCUCCGGCGCCGUGGUAACGGGCGUCCCCAUGAGCCAAUCAGGAGACGAGAAUGAGACGUCGCUCAAUUACCCAUCACCCCCUACUCCAGCCUCAUCAGCCCAGCCCCUCUCAGCCGACCCAGAGAGCAGCCCGAACACUGAGGGGGGGGCAGCUUCACAGAUUAAAGCAGAGAACAUGGAAGGAGCUGAGUUUUCUUCUCAAACAGAAACUAACGGAUCUUCUGGAGAGUUCUUCAUCAACCAGCACCAGUAGGCCUCAUCCAUCCUUCUCCUUCAUCUCGCUCUACAAUUAUGAGUUUCAAUCCUCAUCAAACUCAUCUACUGUGGCUUAAUCACUUUUUCUCUUGGUGUCCAGUCAGACCAGAACGUGGCUCAGCAUAGUUCAACCACGUCUACAUCGUGUUGAACGUCUGGCGAUGUAUUCGGGUUUAUAGCGUCUAAAGUCA